AGUCGAGCGGUAGAGAGAAGCUUGCUUCUCUUGAGAGCGGCGGACGGGUGAGUAAUGCCUAGGAAUCUGCCUGGUAGUGGGGGAUAACGUUCGGAAACGGACGCUAAUACCGCAUACGUCCUACGGGAGAAAGCAGGGGACCUUCGGGCCUUGCGCUAUCAGAUGAGCCUAGGUCGGAUUAGCUAGUUGGUGAGGUAAUGGCUCACCAAGGCGACGAUCCGUAACUGGUCUGAGAGGAUGAUCAGUCACACUGGAACUGAGACACGGUCCAGACUCCUACGGGAGGCAGCAGUGGGGAAUAUUGGACAAUGGGCGAAAGCCUGAUCCAGCCAUGCCGCGUGUGUGAAGAAGGUCUUCGGAUUGUAAAGCACUUUAAGUUGGGAGGAAGGGCAUUAACCUAAUACGUUAGUGUUUUGACGUUACCGACAGAAUAAGCACCGGCUAACUCUGUGCCAGCAGCCGCGGUAAUACAGAGGGUGCAAGCGUUAAUCGGAAUUACUGGGCGUAAAGCGCGCGUAGGUGGUUUGUUAAGUUGGAUGUGAAAUCCCCGGGCUCAACCUGGGAACUGCAUUCAAAACUGACUGACUAGAGUAUGGUAGAGGGUGGUGGAAUUUCCUGUGUAGCGGUGAAAUGCGUAGAUAUAGGAAGGAACACCAGUGGCGAAGGCGACCACCUGGACUAAUACUGACACUGAGGUGCGAAAGCGUGGGGAGCAAACAGGAUUAGAUACCCUGGUAGUCCACGCCGUAAACGAUGUCAACUAGCCGUUGGAAGCCUUGAGCUUUUAGUGGCGCAGCUAACGCAUUAAGUUGACCG
rnacentral:rRNA from 1 species